GUUGUGCCGGACAGAGAGACAGACUUCGACUGGUUAAAUGAUGACGGAUGGGCUCAAGAUACUUUUGAAUAUGAGUUAGAUGAUCAACCGUCGGAAAACAAUAGGCCUACGCGUGCCUCUCUACAGAAGGGGCGCCUUAACCAACAGAUGCUGGACCAAUUCUUUCAUAACACACGAACUGUGAGGAAUGCUGCAUCUUCCGAAGAACCCCAAGGUGGCCAUGGUGAUGGAUC